rnacentral:tRNA from 1 species
GGAAAUGUGGCAGAGAACAUGCAAUUGGCUUGAAACCAAUAGACAGAGGUUUAAAUUACCUCUUGUUUCCG